CUUGCCCGGCGUGCACUGCGGCCGGGGGCGGGGAGCGCGGAACCAUAGAGAAGAACGUAUAUAGAUCGUCUCCGCUGUUGGCUCUGACUCACCAAGCCGAGACGAAUAACCAUAGAGAAGCAGCGUCUAGCGGUUACUAGAAAGGCCCGAACUGUAAAUUAUGACCCACCAUGUUUGAUUGGAGCCGACUGAAUCUUACGACUACGGGACGCCAUCUUGAGGUCAAGGUUCCGGCUGGGCACGGCGCGAGGAGUGUUAGAGGCUUUCUCACUUUUCGUAGUUUUUCGGGGGGUGGAACCUUGCUUUGUGAUUCCUUGAGGUUCGAGGAACUGAUAACUGGGCGCGAUCUGCAACCUUAGUGUUAAACCCCAAGUGCUGUUAUAACAACUACUCGAGAUCAACAAAUAAUUGGCAAAGGCUGUGGAGGUUUUUUGAAAAGCAAAAGCUUAUGCGUAGUUGUAGGGCCAAAGAGGUGGCUAGAAGAUGUUUGGAAAAACGUGAAAAGUCCUGUAAUACUAGUUAACACAGCUUUCGUUCUGUAAUCUAAACGUGCUAAAAGAACUUAGCUUAAGUUAAUGGAAAUGAAUAAAAUUAAUCAUAAAUGAUUACGUUAUUCCAAUUGUGGACCUUAUAGGCAAUAUCUAGUUACACGCCUUUCUCAACUGCUUGCCUCUAGGAAGGCAUAAAACGGAUUCAGUAUAAAGUUAUUGCCUCCCUGAGUUCCUGGUGCUGUGUUAAGUGCUGGAAGUAUGAAGGCAAAUGGAAGUGAGAUUUGUUCCUGUCCUGCAAGAACUGUGAGCCAGGUGAAAUAGAUGACAAACCAUGACCAGCCUAAUAUAAAAUUGAAACAUACUACACACUUCCUGCCUGCCUCCCCUACUUAAUUUUACUCUAAAGCACUCAUAACCAUCUAUCAUAACAUACAUUUUUCUUGCUGAUUUUAUGGUCCGUCACUACCCCCACUAGAAUGUGAAUGUAAGCAAUGCAUGGAUUGCCUGUUUUGUGCAAGAACAGGUCCUGGUACAUAGCAAGCGCUCAAUAAAUAUUUGUUGAGUGACAGAAAUGAUUACCGGCCGGGCGCGGUGGCUCACGCCUGUAACCCCAGCACUUUGGGAGGCCGAGGCGGGUGGAUCACCUGAGGUUAGGAGUUCGAGGCCACCCUGGCCAACAUGGCAAAACCCCGUCUCUACUGAAAAUACAAAAAUAAACUAGGCGUGGUGGCAGGCGCCUGUAAUCCCAGCUACUCGGGAGGCUGAGGCAGGAGAAUCGCUUGAACCCUGGAGGCGGAGGUUGCAGUGAGCCGAGAUGGCACCACUGCACUCCAGCCUGGGCAACAAAGUGAGACAUUGUCUCAAAAAAAAAGAAAAGAAAAGAAAAGAAAUGAUUAACAUAUGAUGAGUACCAAUAGAACACAAAAUUUAGUGGGAGCACAAAUGAGAAAGUAGCACUAAUUACUACCAUCUGCAAAAUUUACAUCCUUCUAUACUUCUGCUUGCUAGGUUUCCUUACCAUUAACUAAAGUUAAUAAUACCUUUGGCCGUGCGUGAUGACGAGUGCUUGUAGUCCCAGUUACUUGGGAGACGAAAUUAACUUAUGUAUGUUUGUACUUUGUUCAGUAAAGUGCUAUUCAAAUUUAUAGUUUUUAUAGUGCUACUCUAUAAUGCUAUUUAUUGUUUGUAAAUAAAAUGAGUUUCUUUUUUUG
rnacentral:lncRNA from 10 species